GAUGAACGCUGGCGGCGUGCCUAAUACAUGCAAGUCGAGCGAACAGACGAGGAGAUUUUUCUCCUGACGUUAGCGGCGGACGGGUGAGUAACAAGUGGAUCACCUACCUAUAUGACUUGGAUAACUUCGUGAAACCGCUGCUACUACCACAUAAUAUAUUGUACCGCAUGGUUCAAUAGUUAAUGACGGUUUUUCUGUCACUUUUAGCCGGUUUCGCGCCGCCUUAGCUAGUUGGUAAGGUAACGGCUCACCAAGGCUACGAUGCUUAGCCGAGCUGAGAGGAUGAUCAGACACACUGGAACUGAGACACGGUCCAGACUCCUACGGGAGGCAGCAGUAGGGAAUAUUCCGCAAUGGGCGCAAGCCUGACGGAGCAAUGCCGCGUGAGUGAAGAAGGUCUUCGGAUUGUAAAACCCUUUUGUUAGGGAAGAACAGCUGUGGAAGUAGCUACGGCUGUGUUGACGGUACCUAAUCAGAAAGCAACGGCUAACUACGUG
rnacentral:rRNA from 1 species